AAAAAGAAGGGAGCAAAGACAGAACCCAAGGUACUAAUUGAUGCACAUGCAAAGGGAAGGAAGGGAAGAGAGUAGAUAUUGGGCAGAGAGAGAAAGCAAGGUGCAGAGAAAAUGCAUGCAAAGCAAGGGGCGCAGAAAACACAUGCAAAAGGAAGGGAGAAAGCAAGGUGCAGAGAAAAUACAUGCAAAGCAAGGGGCACAAAAACACGCCAAGGAAGCCAAAAGGGAAAGCAAGGGGCACAGAAAACACAAUCAAAGGGGAGAAAGCAAAGUGCACAGUAAACACAUGCAAAAGGAAGGGAGAAAGCAAGGCAUAGAGAAAAAACAAAUGCAAACAGAAGGGAGCAAAGACAGAAAACAAGGAUGCACAUGCAAAGGGGAGAAAGCAAGAUGCACAGAAAGCAGACGCAAAGGGAAAAGAGCAAAGAGAGAAAGCAAGGUGCACAGAAGGCACAGCAAGGCACAGAGAAAACUUGAUGCAAAGAGAAGGGAGCUAAGACAGAAAGUACAUGCAAAGGGAAGGAAGGAAGGAAAGAGAGUAGGAAGCUGUCAGAAGAGCCCUCCCCCUCUCCAUGGUCCUGGCCUGGAAGGGGCCCACAGAUGCCCUCCGUCCUCUGCAAAGGACGACUUCCGCCCUUGUCCAAAACAACAGGAGGGAGGGCCAAAACUCCUUGGAAGCUUUUAAACAGAACCUGGAUGGACAUCUGUUGGGGGUGCUUUGAUUGUGCUUUCCAUUCCUAGCAGAAUGGGGUUGGACUAGAUGGCCCAUUUGGUCUCUUCCAAUUGUGAUUCUAAGAGGAAGAAGUUGCCAAAAGAGCCUUCCCCCUCUCCAUGGUCCUGGCAUGGAGGAAGCCCACUCAUCCUCCCCCCCCCCCCUUUGCAUAGAGCAGGCCUGGGGCAAUGUCAACCCUCCCCCUAGGCCUGGGCCAACUUUGGCCCUCCCUCCGGCAGUCAGGAAUUGUGAGCUUGCCCUUCCCUCUGCUGAGUUCCUGCAAAAGGCAAGACAAGUGUGGCACUGAGUCAUAAGGCCCCUUCAUUGAGAUCCAAAGUGGCCACACAAUAAUAAUAGUAAUAGUAAUAAUAAUAAUAGGUAUCAUCAUUGUCAACAACAUCGGCCUGUUGGAGGGAGCCAAAGGGCUGCUUUCUGCUGCAUCUCCUGCUUCCUGGCACUGUGAGAGGAUAGAUGUGGGUCGUCCUCCCUGCAGGGGGGGAUAGGCCCCCCUCACCUGGAUGCAGCCAUAGAAUCAUAGAGUUGGAAGAGACCUCAUGGGCCAUCCAGUCCAACCCCCUAUUAAGAAGCAGGAAAAUCACAUUCAAACUACCCCUAACAGAUGGCCAUCCAGCCUCCGCUUAUUACUAAAUACUAAAGUCAUACCAAUAAUGGCAAUAAUAAGCAGCGGUGUGUAUGGUUUAUUCUCUUGGAGUCCCAGCUCAGCCUUGGGGUGCAGCGGCACCAUGGAUUCAUCCAUUUGUAUCCCAAAUGUACUUCCAUCCUUGGCAACCACACUGAGAUCAAUGGACUGCCUUCUACUUGUUUAUCUUUCGCUUCUUGGCAUUUGGCUUCACAAGGUGCUCAGGAGGGCAGGGAGAAGUCUGUUUUGCACUCCUAUUGCCACAGCAAUUAUUAUUUAAUAAUAACAAUAUUAUUGUUGAUGUUGUUGUUGUUAUUGUUAUUAUUAUUCGAGGCCAUUCAGUCAGCAGGCAUCAUUGGGGCCUGGGUUUUAUUAUCCCCAGCGCGAGGUCCCUGUUUAGGAAGAGCCUUUAAGGAAACGGCUCUUGCUGUCGUCAGUCUUCCAGAGGUUUGUUUCAGUGAAAGCCUUGUUCCAAUAGUUUUCCUGUUGGAGGAGGGCUGCUUGUAUCAAGAUGGGACAAGACUCGGCACUUGUAUACCACACCAUGUUUUAUUAUUAUUAAUUAUAAUAAAUAAAUAAGUAUAUAAGAAACAUUUUCUGUUUCCAGAGAAUCGUUUGGGGCUGAAUGUCAGCACAAUGCUUUGCAUGAUGCAGAACCCUGCUCUGGGAGGAUGGGAUCCAAUGCAAAUGUUUAUAUGGUUUAGUCACAAGUCUUCCUGCAGGGCAGUGAUGCCAGGGCUGCACCGCAGACCUGAUACAUAAACCACUGUAUAUGUCAUGAUCACCUCUGUAAUCUCAGAUCUUCAAGUGCAGCCAUUUUUAAAGGGAAAUUGUGCUUGGAAGGCAAGCUUCUGUCUAUUCCUUUUCAUGUUGCUUUUUGUUACCUGAUUUUAUAUUUUGGCAAUCAAUUUGAGGGAUAACGUCAUGCUUUUGUUGCCGUCUACCCUGAAUGAGGGGUGGCCCUGUUCUCUUGUUGGUUUGAGCUGAUGGGGGCUGCUGUUUGCCCACUGCGCGGGGGGGGGGGGUGUCUCUGCUUGGACCAGUAUGGCCAUGCUUGGGCCUUGGGGAGAGGCCCUGGACUCCCUGCAGCCCUUUGUCCCAGUGGAUGUCACCACUGCUUACCUUGUGUUUUGUGGCCUGAACCUUGCAGUCGGCUUGUAUUGAAGCUGCAGGGGCCACAGGUGCAGCUGUCCUCCCAGUUGGGGGCCCCUGCUGCCGGCUUCUCUCCUUCUGAGGGCUCUGGGGUGAAGGCUUUCCUAUUGGUUGCAGCCAGUUUGUCGACGAGCACAGCAGAGGGGUCUGCUCAGUGCCCACAUAGCCAUUCCAGAGCGACUGGUUCAAGAUGGUUUUGUUCUCUCUGGACACUUCAGGAUGGAUGAUAUUUUCUUCCUUCGUUGCAUCAGUUCUUUCUCUGUUUGUUGUGUCACCUGCAAUAAUGCCUUAUUGAUUCAGUCCUGUUUCUUGUUCUUCUACAUUUCAAAUUGCAGUACGAGUGGCUUCUUUUGGAUGAAUGCUUGAGAGGUGAGGUGUAGAAAUAAAUGCCUUUGAAGGAAGUAAUGAAUCUCAAAGUGUGCAUCCUUUGGCCUUGUGCUCUGCAAGGAGGCCUCUUCUGGGAUCCUAAGUGGGGAAGACAGGGGAAGCCAGUUUGCCCCCUUCUUCUUCCCCCUUUGCUUCCUCCUGAGCAGGGGAUGCCUCUUCUCCAGCCCCUCCCUCCCUCUGUCAGCUGAUUUGCACGUGGGGCUCAUGCCAGGCAGUGAUUGGCUGCAAAGGCAGCUGGAAUCCUGGGGGGAGGAGGUGGUCCUGGGCCGGCAGAGGUACCAGGCCGGAGGCGGCAGGGCUUUGGGGUCUCUGCUGAGGGUCGAGGGUCGGUGGCCAGGGCUGCAGACCAGAGAAACAGCACAAAGCUCGUCCUUAAGGUGGGAGUGCGGUUUGGGGCAGUCGUCCCGCAUGUGUCACAGCCUUAGGCUCGUCCCUUGGUUCCCAAUCCUGUGCUUUCCCUACACAAACUGUGCUGCCUCCUCCCCUUCCUCCUCGAAGGUAGCCCUGGCCUUUGACAUAGCCUCUCCAUGGAUCUCAGGAACAGUCUGAAUCAUUUCCAGGUAAGCUUUCCAGGCUCCCUCGCCGUGCUACAGGGACAACCUUCCUUCCAAGCCAUGCCAUUGGUCCCUUGGUCAGGCUUGGGGCGCUUGCCUUCCCUUGCCCCUGUUCAGCAGCGGUGCUAGGGCUUGAACCAAGGGCCUUGCUCCACCCUUGAGUGGGGCAAGAGGCCCAGCUGCAACACGGGGCAGAAACAGCAGAGGUGGCCAGGUGGGCUUCACCUCCACUUCACACUGCGGACGUGGAUUGUCAUUCUCUGUGUUCCCUUUUGAGAAAAAGAAACAUAUACAAACAGGGUAAGCCAGGAACAUUACGCCAGACACACACAUAUUUGUGAUCCAUGGGAUAUUUAUCAAAAGUGUCAGAGACCAUCUGCAGUCUUCUUCCUACUACCUGUGCUGUUGCACAUGUAAUCCAAACUAUACUACAGGGCCUUUUUUUCCACCGUAGCUGGAGUGAGCAUGAUCCGGGAGUGGAGGAACUGUCCGUGGUUCUGUUGGCUUGGGCAGCUUACCAUUUGGUGGGACUUAGAUUUGCCCAUUAAGACAGACGACCCUGCAACGCUUAAGGAUCCCUGUGGUGGGUCUUAGGGAGUGUUUUCCCAGUGUGAACUGUAGAAUUACACUGGCCUGUGCCAAAGGAGUCAUCCUCCAAGAAGCCAGGAAUGCUCUUGUGCCUGUAUCAAGGAGACAGAAAGGAGGCCACCAACUUGUGGCCCCUGUGCAGCUGUUUGCUCUUCGCAAGCAGUAGGCCCUCUAGGGCUUCUUAAGAGCCCCUAUCAUGGGGAGCUGUCUCAUUUCCUCUGUGGCAUUUGGAUUUGGCCCAUUGGGCUCUCCUUGCACUUGGAGGUCCCUUGAUCUUGUGACGGUACCUCCAACUUCCCCUUAUUUGUGUACAGCUGUCAGAUUUUUCUAUUUAUUUAUUUAUUUAUUUCCAGAGUUUAUACUCCGCCCUUCUCACCCGGGGGGGACUCAGGGCGGCUUACACAGUUGGCAACAUUUAAUGCUACGACAUCAUGAUAAAACAAAAAACAGUACAUAUAAUCAAUUAAAACUAUAAAAAUACAUCAUUAAAAUACAUUAUAAAAAUUAAAACAUAAGUAAAUUAGA
rnacentral:lncRNA from 1 species